AGUGAACGCUGGCGGUAGGCCUAACACAUGCAAGUCGAACGGCAGCACAGUAAGAGCUUGCUCUUACGGGUGGCGAGUGGCGGACGGGUGAGGAAUACAUCGGAAUCUACUUUUUCGUGGGGGGUAACGUAGGGAAACUUACGCUAAUACCGCAUACGACCUACGGGUGAAAGCAGGGGAUCUUCGGACCUUGCGCGAUUGAAUGAGCCGAUGUCGGAUUAGCUAGUUGGCGGGGUAAAGGCCCACCAAGGCGACGAUCCGUAGCUGGUCUGAGAGGAUGAUCAGCCACACUGGAACUGAGACACGGUCCAGACUCCUACGGGAGGCAGCAGUGGGGAAUAUUGGACAAUGGGCGCAAGCCUGAUCCAGCCAUACCGCGUGGGUGAAGAAGGCCUUCGGGUUGUAAAGCCCUUUUGUUGGGAAAGAAAGGCAGCAGGUUAAUACCCCGCUGUUCUGACGGUACCCAAAGAAUAAGCACCGGCUAACUUCGUG
rnacentral:rRNA from 1 species